rnacentral:rRNA from 1 species
UACGUAGGGUGCGAGCGUUGUCCGGAAUUACUGGGCGUAAAGAGCUCGUAGGUGGUUUGUCGCGUUGUUCGUGAAAACUCACAGCUUAACUGUGGGCGUGCGGGCGAUACGGGCAGACUGGAGUACUGCAGGGGAGACUGGAAUUCCUGGUGUAGCGGUGGAAUGCGCAGAUAUCAGGAGGAACACCGGUGGCGAAGGCGGGUCUCUGGGCAGUAACUGACGCUGAGAAGCGAAAGCGUGGGGAGCGAACAGG